UGCGUAGGCGGCUAGAUAAGUCAGAGGUGAAAUGCUACGGCUUAACUGUGGAAUUGCCUUUGAAACUAUAUAGCUAGAAUAGAGUUGAGGUUGGCGGAAUGUGACAUGUAGCGGUGAAAUGCAUAGAUAUGUCAUAGAACAUCGAUUGCGAAGGCAGCUAACUGGGCUUUUAUUGAAGCUGAGGCACGAAGCGUGGGGAUCAAACA
rnacentral:rRNA from 1 species